AGAGUUUGAUCAUGGCUCAGGACGAACGCUGGCGGCGCGCCUAACACAUGCAAGUCGAACGAGAGAGAGGGAGCUUGCUUCCUCAAUCGAGUGGCGAACGGGUGAGUAACGCGUGAGGAACCUGCCUCAAAGAGGGGGACAACAGUUGGAAACGACUGCUAAUACCGCAUAAGCCCACGACCCGGCAUCGGGAAGAGGGAAAAGGAACAAUCCGCUUUGAGAUGGCCUCGCGUCCGAUUAGCUAGUUGGUGAGGUAACGGCCCACCAAGGCGACGAUCGGUAGCCGGACUGAGAGGUUGAACGGCCACAUUGGGACUGGGACACGGCCCAGACUCCUACGGGAGGCAGCAGUGGGGAAUAUUGCACAAUGGGGAAACCCUGAUGCAGCGACGCCGCGUGGAGGAAGAAGGUCUUCGGAUUGUAAACUCCUGUUGUUGAGGAAGAUAAUGACGGUACUCAACAAGGAAGUGACGGCUAACUACGUGCCAGCAGCCGCGGUAAAACGUAGGUCACAAGCGUUGUCCGGAAUUACUGGGUGUAAAGGGAGCGCAGGCGGGCGAUCAAGUUGGGAGUGAAAUCCAUGGGCUCAACCCAUGAACUGCUUUCAAAACUGGUCGUCUUGAGUAGUGCAGAGGUAGGCGGAAUUCCCGGUGUAGCGGUGGAAUGCGUAGAUAUCGGGAGGAACACCAGUGGCGAAGGCGGCCUACUGGGCACCAACUGACGCUGAGGCUCGAAAGUGUGGGUAGCAAACAGGAUUAGAUACCCUGGUAGUCCACACCGUAAACGAUGAUUACUAGGUGUUGGGAGAUUGACCCUCUCAGUGCCGCAGUUAACACAAUAAGUAAUCCACCUGGGGAGUACGACCGCAAGGUUGGAACUCAAAGGAGUUGACGGGGGCCCGCACAAGCAGUGGAGUAUGUGGUUUAAUUCGACGCAACGCGAAGAACCUUACCAGGUCUUGACAUCCAACUAACGAAGCGGAGAUGCAUUAGGUGCCCUUCGGGGAAAGUUGAGACGGGUGGUGCAUGGUUGUCGUCAGCUCGUGUCGUGAGAUGUUGGGUUAAGUCCCGCAACGAGCGCAACCCUUGUGAUUAGUUGCUACGCAAGAGCACUCUGGUCAGACUGCCGUUGACAAAACGGAGGAAGGUGGGGACGACGUCAAAUCACCAUGCCCUUUAUGACCUGGGCUACACACGUACUACAAUGGUCGUUAACAGAGGGAAGCAAUACCGCGAGGUGGAGCAAAACCCUAAAAACGGUCUCAGUUCAGAUUGUAGGCUGCAACUCGCCUACAUGAAGUUGGAAUUGCUAGUAAUCGCGGAUCAGCAUGCCGCGGUGAAUACGUUCCCGGGCCUUGUACACACCGCCCGUCACACCAUGGGAGCCGGUAAUACCCGAAGUCAGUAGUUUAACCGUAAGGAGAACGCUGCCGAAGGUAGGAUUGGCGACUGGGGUGAAGUCGUAACAAGGUA
rnacentral:rRNA from 1 species